AGAUUGAACGCUGGNGGCAGGCCUAACACAUGCAAGUCGAGCGGUAGAGAGGUGCUUGCAUCUCUUGAGAGCGGCGGACGGGUGAGUAAUGCCUAGGAAUCUGCUAGUGGUGGGGGAUAACGUUCGGAAACGGACGCUAAUACCGCAUACGUCCUACGGGAGAAAGCGGGGGAUCUUCGGACCUCGCGCCAUUAGAUGAGCCUAGGUCGGAUUAGCUAGUUGGUGAGGUAAUGGCUCACCAAGGCGACGAUCCGUAACUGGUCUGAGAGGAUGAUCAGUCACACUGGAACUGAGACACGGUCCAGACUCCUACGGGAGGCAGCAGUGGGGAAUAUUGGACAAUGGGCGAAAGCCUGAUCCAGCCAUGCCGCGUGUGUGAAGAAGGUCUUCGGAUUGUAAAGCACUUUAAGUUGGGAGGAAGGGUAGUAACCUAAUACGUUGCUACUUUGACGUUACCGACAGAAUAAGCACCGGCUAACUUCGUG
rnacentral:rRNA from 1 species